rnacentral:tRNA from 1 species
AAGGUUUUAAGUUAAAAAUAAACUAUUAAUCUUCAAAAUUAAAAAUAUUAUAAUUUUAAUAAAUCUUA